AACGAACGCUGGCGGCAGGCCUAACACAUGCAAGUCGAGCGCUCCGCAAGGGGAGCGGCAGACGGGUGAGUAACGCGUGGGAACCUAGCCUACGGUCGGGAAUAGCUCAGGGAAACUUGGGGUAAUACCGGAUACGCCCUUACGGGGAAAGAUUUAUCGCCGUUGGAUGGGCCCGCGUCGGAUUAGCUAGUUGGUGAGGUAAUGGCUCACCAAGGCGACGAUCCGUAGCUGGUCUGAGAGGANGAUCAGCCACACUGGGACUGAGACACGGCCCAGACUCCUACGGGAGGCAGCAGUGGGGAAUAUUGGACAAUGGGCGCAAGCCUGAUCCAGCCAUGCCGCGUGAGUGACGAAGGCCUUAGGGUUGUAAAGCUCUUUUGGCGGGAAGAUAAUGACGGUACCCGCAGAAUAAGCUCCGGCUAACUUCGUGCCAGCAGCCGCAGUAAU
rnacentral:rRNA from 1 species